GCCACCGUGGCUCAAUGGUAGAGCAGCGCUCUUGUAAAGCGCAGGUUGAGGGUUCAAGUCCCUUCGGUGGCU
rnacentral:tRNA from 1 species